rnacentral:tRNA from 1 species
GGCGAUAUCGUCUAGUGGUUAGGACGUUCGGUUUUGAUGUCCGAGCAACCUGGGUUCGAUCCCCAGUAGCGCCU